rnacentral:ncRNA from 1 species
GUAAAGGCGUUGAAGAGAAGAGUAAGCAUGGAAUGGAUGGACAGAGACCUCUGGGAGCUGAGAAGGAGGCAUCGUGAACAUGUUGAAGCAAGUCUCGGAGCUUUGCAUCGGAUUCUUCGGAUGAUAAUGCAACGGGAUCUCCCGUUAUAGAGAUAGGGUAUCGCUAGGUUAAUUCAUGUAGCCGUACUUGAAGAGGUCUUUGUAGCGAUACAUCGACAAACUGGGGUGGCACCGCGAUUCGACUCGCCCCCAAG